UGAUAAUGUGAACGGUAGGUCAUGGUGGCCUGCUAGGAGCCUAGGAUGGUCGUCCUGAAUUUUUUGUGUUUUAAUUUCUGUCUUUCGUUGGUUGUGAGUUUUGUCGUUCUCCGCGUUUCAUUUUUUGUUUAAUUUCUUCUUCUUUCAAAUAGCUCGUGUCAUAUGUAUUGAUAAUUUAUAUUCAAUCGAUUAUUUCUGUGUUAUUUUCAUUUUCUUUCUGUGUUUCUGUUAACAAAAUUUGGCAUAGAUUUGUUGGGCCUG
rnacentral:lncRNA from 1 species